UAAGUUAGCUGAUUGAACAUGAAUGGGCUCACUCACUCAUGAAAAUUCAAUGCUCACCUGAGAAGGCAAAGGCUUGGGAAAGUCGGCAAUCACACCAAAAGCCACAAUAAUCAGGGGUUAGAUUAGAAGAGGUGACUACCAUAACAUAACGUGUCUUGAUUGAUUUGGUCGAAUUGAAUUCCACACUCCACAACAGAGUUCGAAAUCAAAAAUAAGAAUUGCUCCAUUGUCGAAGCUCCAUUGUUAAAAAGGGGUGUAAUCAGAAAAUUAUUAUACAAGCCAAACGCGAUUAAUAAUGGAUCAGAUUAGCAUUCAGAAAGGAAGAAUUGUGACCCUAGAAGAAGG